CCUACGGGAGGCUGCAGUGAGGAAUAUUGGUCAAUGGGAGAGAUCCUGAACCAGCCAAGCCGCGUGAGGGAAGACGGCCCUAUGGGUUGUAAACCUCUUUUGUCGGAGAACAAAACCCGGGACGUGUCCCGGACUGCGUGUAUCCGACGAACAAGCAUCGGCUAACUCCGUGCCAGCAGCCGCGGUAAUACGGAGGAUGCGAGCGUUAUCCGGAUUUAUUGGGUUUAAAGGGUGCGUAGGCGGUCCGUUAAGUCAGCGGGAAAAUUGCGGGGCUCAAACCCGUCGAGCCGUUGAAACUGGCAGACUUGAGUUGGCGAGAAGUACGCGGAAUGCGCGGUGUAGCGGUGAAAUGCAUAGAUAUCGCGCAGAACUCCGAUUGCGAAGGCAGCGUACCGGCGCCAGACUGACGCUGAGGCACGAAAGCGUGGGGAUCGAACAGGAUUAGAUACCCUAGUAGUC
rnacentral:rRNA from 1 species